rnacentral:tRNA from 1 species
AAUUAUAUAGUUUAAUUAGAGCGUAGUGUUGAAGCCACUAAGGGGAAAAUCUUUCUGUAAUGU